CCUACGGGAGGCAGCAGUGGGGAAUAUUGGUCAAUGGGCGGAAGCCUGAACCAGCCAAGUCGCGUGAGGGAAUAAGGCCCUACGGGUCGUAAACCUCUUUUGCCGGGGAGCAAGGGCGGGGACGUGUCCCGGCCCGGAGAGUACCCGGAGAAAAAGCAUCGGCUAACUCGGUGCCAGCAGCCGCGGUAGUACGGAGGAUGCGAGCGUUAUCCGGAUGGAUUGGGUUUAAAGGGUGCGUAGGCGGGCGUUUAAGUCAGCGGUAAAAAUUCGGGGCUCAACCCCGUCCUGCCGUUGAAACUGGGUGCCUUGAGUGGGCGAGAAGACGGCGGAAUGCGUGGUGUAGCGGUGAAAUGCAUAGAUAUCACGCAGAACCCCGAUUGCGAAGGCAGCCUUCCGGCGCCCUACUGACGCUGAGGCACGAAAGUGCGGGGAUCGAACAGGAUUAGAUACCCCAGUAGUC
rnacentral:rRNA from 1 species